rnacentral:rRNA from 1 species
GAUGAACGCUGGCGGCGUGCCUAAUACAUGCAAGUCGAGCGAACAGACGAGGAGCUUGCUCCUCUGACGUUAGCGGCGGACGGGUGAGUAACACGUGGAUAACCUACCUAUAAGACUGGGAUAACUUCGGGAAACCGGAGCUAAUACCGGAUAAUAUAUUGAACCGCAUGGUUCAAUAGUGAAAGACGGUUUUGCUGUCACUUAUAGAUGGAUCCGCGCCGCAUUAGCUAGUUGGUAAGGUAACGGCUUACCAAGGCAACGAUGCGUAGCCGACCUGAGAGGGUGAUCGGCCACACUGGAACUGAGACACGGUCCAGACUCCUACGGGAGGCAGCAGUAGGGAAUCCUCCGCAAUGGGCGAAAGCCUGACGGAGCAACGCCGCGUGAGUGAUGAAGGUCUUCGGAUCGUAAAACUCUGUUAUUAGGGAAGAACAAAUAUGUAAGUAACUAUGCACGUCUUGACGGUACCUAAUCAGAAAGCCACGGCUAACUACGUG